GACGAACGCUGGCGGCGUGCUUAACACAUGCAAUCGAACGGAAAGGCCCUGCUUUUGUGGGGUGCUCGAGUGGCGAACGGGUGAGUAACACGUGAGUAACCUGCCCUUGACUUUGGGAUAACUUCAGGAAACUGGGGCUAAUACCGGAUAGGAGCUCCUGCUGCAUGGUGGGGGUUGGAAAGUUUCGGCGGUUGGGGAUGGACUCGCGGCUUAUCAGCUUGUUGGUGGGGUAGUGGCUUACCAAGGCUUUGACGGGUAGCCGGCCUGAGAGGGUGACCGGCCACAUUGGGACUGAGAUACGGCCCAGACUCCUACGGGAGGCAGCAGUGGGGAAUAUUGCACAAUGGGCGGAAGCCUGAUGCAGCAACGCCGCGUGCGGGAUGACGGCCUUCGGGUUGUAAACCGCUUUCGCCUGUGACGAAGCGUGAGUGACGGUAAUGGGUAAAGAAGCACCGGCUAACUACGUG
rnacentral:rRNA from 1 species